rnacentral:rRNA from 1 species
GUGACGAAGCGACGCCGCGUGUGGGAAGAAGGCCUUCGGGUUGUAAACCACUGUCGGGAGUUAGGAAAUGCAGGUGCGUUAAUAGCGCACUUGCUUGACUAAGGCUCCAGAGGAAGCCACGGCUAACUCUGUGCCAGCAGCCGCGGUAAUACAGAGGCGGCAAGCGUUGUUCGGAAUUAUUGGGCGUAAAGAGCACGUAGGCGGCCUUGCAAGUCAGUUGUGAAAGCCUUCCGCUUAACGGAAGAACGGCAUCUGAUACUACAGGGCUUGAGUACGGGAGGGGAGAGUGGAACUUCUGGUGGAGCGGUGAAAUGCGUAGAUAUCAGAAGGAACGCCGGCGGCGAAAGCGACUCUCUGGUCCGAAACUGACGCUGAGUGUGCGAAAGCUAGGGGAGCAAACGGGAUUAGAUACCCCGGUAGUCCUAGCCGUAAACGAUGGGCACUAAGUAGAGGGGUUUUGAUUAUUUCUCUGCCGGAGCUAACGCAUUAAGUGCCCCGCCUGGGGAGUACGGCCGCAAGGCUAAAACUCAAAAGAAUUGACGGGGGCUCGCACAGGCGGUGGAGCAUGUGGCUUAAUUCGAUGCAACGCGAAGAACCUUACCGGGGCUUGACAUGGUAGAAGUAGAAUCCUGAAAGGGUGACGAUCGGUAUCCAGUCCGAAGCUAUCACAGGUGUUGCAUGGCUGUCGUCAGCUCGUGUCGUGAGACGUUGGGUUAAGUCCCCUAACGAGCGAAACCCUUGUCUUUAGUUGCUAACGGGUAAUGCUGAGCACUUUAGAGAGACUGCCGUCGUUAAGACGGAGGAAGGUGGGGACGACGUCAAGUCAUCAUGGCCCUUAUGUCCCGGGCUGCACACGUGCUACAAUGGUCGGUACAAAGGGAUGCUAAGUCGCGAGAUGGUGCGAAACCUAUAAAGCCGAUCUCAGUUCAGAUUGGAGGCUGAAACUCGCCUCCAUGAAGUUGGAAUCGCUAGUAAUCGCGGAUCAGCUACGCCGCGGUGAAUAUGUUCCCGAGCCUU